rnacentral:rRNA from 1 species
GACGAACGCUGGCGGCGUGCUUAACACAUGCAAGUCGAACGAAGUGGCGAACGGGUGAGUAACGCGUAAUCAACCUGCCCUUCAGUGGGGGACAACACUUGGAAACGACAGCUCAUCCCGCAUAAUGAAUGAGGGGAUUUCGUCGGCUGAGCUAGUUGGAGGGGUAACGGCCCACCAAGGCGAUGAUCAGUCGCCGGUCUGAGAGGAGGAACGGCCACAGUGGGACGGAGACACGGCCCAGACUCCUACGGGAGGCAGCAGUGGGGAAUCUUCCGCAAUGGACGAAAGUCUGACGGAGCAACGGCGCGUGAGUGAUGACGGCCUUCGGGUUGUAAAGCUCUGUUAAUCGGGACGCGGUACCGGAAUAGAAAGCCACGGCUAACUACGUGCCAGCAGCCGCGGUAAUUC